UCGUAACACGAACCGGUGCUAAAGGGUCCUGCCCAACGGCUGGUGCUGUCGGGGCAGGGACCCUUUAGCACCAGUUCGUGUUACCAA
rfam:Sorghum bicolor cultivar BTx623 chromosome 10, whole genome shotgun sequence.